GGACCCAUGACAGUUGCCCAGCCGCCGUUACCCAGCCAUCUUCGACCACAACAACCCGUUUGACUGGAGUUAGCCUUUCUUCUCCAGCGACUGGUUUUUUCCUUCUCCCUACGCACAACGAAAGUGCGGCAACAACACCUCUGGCACUCUACAGAUUCAAUAGAAGGAAGUACAUCUUGGGAUGUGGUGAGUGCUAAUGAUUUAUGGGAGGGAGAGAACAUUGAUUUGAAUGAAGAUGAGUAUGUUCUCGUGAGUCAGGAGGAAGAUUAUAAUGGAACAGAAGCACGUGUUGUUGUCAGCUUUGAGUGUUGGAGUUGGGGUAGGAGUUGGGUUGUUGAGUUCAGGGCAGUCAGUGAGUAAAUGGGUUAAAGGAACGAAUGGCUCCCCGGAUUUGAUUUCUGCGGACCAAAUUGAGUAUGAGCUGAUGAGGUUGUUUGAUAGCAGAGAAAACAAGGUUUCGUUUGAGAACUUUCCAUACUAUUUAAGGUAAUUCAAGAUUAAGAUUUUUUGGGUUAAUCUUGUUUUGUUUUUCUAUGUUUUCUUUCCCGGAAAAUGGGAGCUUGUAGCUUGGUAUAUUGUGCUAUUAAUAUGGAUAAUGCCAUCAGAGUUCAUGUUAGAGAUGAUCUCUUUUUCUAGUGUUUUGCUCACUUCUCAUGGAUUUGUUAUAACUAGUCCUUUGUAAAAGGCCUACUCUAUAUUUGUUUUAGCUUCUUUUCAAUUAA